CAUGCCUUACACAUGCAAGUCGAACGGCAGCGGGGGUAGCUUGCUACCUGCCGGCGAGUGGCGAACGGGUGAGUAAUACAUCGGAACGUGCCCUGUAGUGGGGGAUAACUAGUCGAAAGACUAGCUAAUACCGCAUACGACCUGAGGGUGAAAGUGGGGGACCGCAAGGCCUCAUGCUAUAGGAGCGGCCGAUGUCUGAUUAGCUAGUUGGUGGGGUAAAGGCCCACCAAGGCGACGAUCAGUAGCUGGUCUGAGAGGACGAUCAGCCACACUGGGACUGAGACACGGCCCAGACUCCUACGGGAGGCAGCAGUGGGGAAUUUUGGACAAUGGGGGCAACCCUGAUCCAGCAAUGCCGCGUGUGUGAAGAAGGCCUUCGGGUUGUAAAGCACUUUUGUCCGGAAAGAAAUCGCACUGGUUAAUACCUGGUGUGGAUGACGGUACCGGAAGAAUAAGGACCGGCUAACUACGUGCCAGCAGCCGCGGUAAUACGUAGGGUCCAAGCGUUAAUCGGAAUUACUGGGCGUAAAGCGUGCGCAGGCGGUUGUGCAAGACCGAUGUGAAAUCCCCGGGCUUAACCUGGGAAUUGCAUUGGUGACUGCACGGCUAGAGUGUGUCAGAGGGAGGUAGAAUUCCACGUGUAGCAGUGAAAUGCGUAGAGAUGUGGAGGAAUACCGAUGGCGAAGGCAGCCUCCUGGGAUAACACUGACGCUCAUGCACGAAAGCGUGGGGAGCAAACAGG
rnacentral:rRNA from 1 species